rnacentral:tRNA from 2 species
GGGCGGUUAGCUCAGCUGGUAGAGCGUCUGCUUUACACGCAGAAUGUCGGGAGUUCGAGCCUCUCACCGCCCA